UCGUGUUUUGAAAGCAGCUCGUCAAACCGGCUUCUCCACCGGCAUUCCGUGACUGACUGACUGACUGACUCAUCUGAUAAAGCUCACCUCACUCCAACCCAGCCGCUGCUUGCUUAGUACAUGACUUCCAAACUCGGAAUUUAAAUAAUCUGUGAAGAAUUGAUCAUCAGUAACGAAAGUUCCAUAUAAAGCAACUAGGUGUAUAGUUCGGCAGUGUAUUGAAGAAUACCCUGGUAUUAUCGUGCUUGAGGGAUGUAAUGUGAGGUUAAAGUUCCCUUCCAAAAUGUAAAAGCGUGACCACUGUGUAGUCACAAUUAACCAGCAUCAUGAGUUUGGAGAGCGCGUCGGCCCUGUUCAUGCCGGUGUUGUUCCUGCUGGCUCUGGUCUUGGUUCUGUUCUCGUGCGUCCUCCGUAAGAGGCAGAAGAUGGAGCGAUCAUACCAGCCCGGUGCGGAGGAACGCAAACAGGCCAGGAACCACAGAGCCGAGAGACCCGGGCUCGCUCUCCCGCUGCCCAAAGAGGAGAGACUGAUCUGAACGAUGCUGAAAGCCCACCACAGAACUUUCAUUGUAACUUAAUAUUGAUAUUUAUGUGGAGUCCACACACGUGUGCAGUCCUGACAACCAAGUGAAGGAUCAUGGAUGGAGAACCUAUGAAGUGGUGGUGGGUAUUCAUCUGACAUUUUUGAAAGAAUGGCGAGAAUGCUUUCACUUCACAAUGCACUGCUAAUGCUGACAAAUCCAUUCAAGUAUGCAUGAAGAGGUUUUGCUAUCACACUUGGGAUCACACUUGGGAUAACUGAAGACAAUAGGAAGUGCAUUCAUCAAAAAUAAAAUAGAAGCCAGAAUGGUUUACAAGGAGAGCCAAAGUUUGACUUCACCUGUACUUUGUUUACUCACCUGAGAGUCUUUAUGAAGGAGCCACAUGGCAGCUUUACCUCCAAAAUAGUUUACCAUUGUAAUACUGAAUACUUUAAAUGACUUAAAUGUGAAUGUUAUGGUGCAGGUAAUUUAUUUUGUUUAUUUUUAGUUUUUUUGGAGAGAAAAAUAUAUAUACUGCACAAAUGUUGUUUUGUAUUAGAUUAGCAUUUCUGUAAUAUCUGUAACACAUCCAUAUUUUUUGAUCCUAACGUGAUGAAGUGACUGUGUAUGAUUAAUUAAAAUGCAUCUGUGAGUAAACAACCUUGUCCUCAGUU